UGACUUGGAACCCAUUCUCACUCAAACUCUCUCAAAGGUUCUUGAAACCCUAGCCUCUCUCACCGUCUUCAACCACAACCUCACCGGAAUCCAUGCACUCUCCGAUCAUGGAUGGCUUGAACCCUUCUCUCCUGCUCUCAAACACUUGGUGUUCGAAGUUUUGAGGUCUGACCUCGAUGGUGUCCAUUCAGACCUUCUCCGAUUCAAGGUUCUAUGGCCUCUCCGGCCUUGCUCUGGCGUAUCCAACUAUUAUGAGCCUAUCUCUGACCUUUCCGACCAAGAUCAGACCUUUUCCAAGCCUUUCUCAUUUUAGGGUUCUUCUGAAACCCUAGCUACUCAAGUUUUUCUCUAAUUUUUCUUAGAUUUGUAUAUAUCUGUACACUACUG
rnacentral:lncRNA from 1 species